AUUGAACGCUGGCGGCAGGCCUAACACAUGCAAGUCGAACGAGUGGCGGACGGGUGAGUAAUGUCUGGGAAACUGCCCGAUGGAGGGGGCUAACUCCUGGAAACGGUAGCUAAUACCGCAUACAAUCGGAUGUGCCCAGGUGGGAUUAGCUAGUAGGGGGGGUAACGGCUCACCUAGGCGAAGCUCACUAGCUGGUCUGAGAGGAUGACCAGAAACCCUUGAAAGGAGAAACGGGCCAGACGCCGACGGUAGGCAGCAGUGGGGAAUAUUGCACAAUGGGCGAAAGCCUGAUGCAGCCAUGCCGCGGGUAUGAAGAAGGCCUUCAGGUUGUAAAGUACUUGUAGUGGGGAAGCGUUACUCGCAGAAGAAGCACCGGCUAACUCCGUGCCAGCAGCCGCGGUAAUAC
rnacentral:rRNA from 1 species